CCCGGCCGGAGAAGUUGAGCAGCUUGCUCCGGCUUGACACAGAGAAUGAGCAGCUGAGCCGAACCUUCGAUGUGAAUUUGCCACUAGGCUGUCCCGUUAGAAAGGAAAGUUGGAAACGUGCGAGCCUGGAUGCUUCGGCCCCUGAGGUUCUGCGCCUCUGGAGAGCCCCCACCUACCCAGAGUUCUCCCCGCCCGCCCGCCACCGCCGCCCGGCGACAGCCUCCUCCUCUUCCAAGGUCACCCACGUGAGCACGGAGGUCUGCAGCUCACGCCCCUGGCACAUCCGUCGCCCAGCUGUGCGCCAGGGUGACCGUGAUCUAACUGUGGGCAGCACGGCGGUCAAGAGCACCGACUGCCGGGUCCGAGGCGGAGUGUUGGACCCGAAGCAGGUGCCCUGCUAAACCGCUUUUGCCUCAGUUUGCCCGUCUGUAGGGAAGGGCCGAUGCUGCUCAUAACGAUCUCAUGGGUGAAGGGGAAAGGCGUCCACGCUCUGUCUGACUGAUGGAAGGCUGGUUUGUGUGGUUUCUCGGCCGUUCCAGGCUGAGCUGCCGAGGCUUCUUCUUAACCCCUCGUGGCCUCUGCUCAUCCGCCAGGCAGGUGGGACCAGAUCAGCCCACCGGGAGGCCGAGAGCCCGGCGGCUUGUCCUGCGCUGCUUGUUUCCCCGAGUGAAGGCAAAGCCGCUCGCUCUCCCUGCAGAACAUGCUGGGGGACGAUGUCGCUGGGUCCUGGCAGGGCUGAGCGAGGUUUGCCUGUAAAUAAUCUCAAGGUGCCGUUCUGGGCGUUUCUCUCGCGCUCUCCAACCUCUCUCACAUCGCUGAGGGGCAAAUUACUGGCUCUUUCCAGCAAAAUGGAAAAAUACUUCUGACUUAUUGCAGAGCCAUGUGCCAAGCCCUACAGCCACCAGCAGCUGUGGGGCCUCCAGAGCCAAGGCUGUAAGCCUCUCUGUGCAGGGGAGGCUAUUGAGGUAUUAAAAAAUUUUUUUUUC